rnacentral:rRNA from 1 species
UGGUCAAGUUAUUAAGGGUGCAGGGCGGAUGCCUUGGCACUAGGAGCCGAUGAAGGACGUGAUAAGCUGCGAUAAGCUUCGGGGAGUUGCACGUAAACUUUGAUCCGAAGAUUUCCGAAUGAGGAAACUCACUUAGAGUAAUGUCUAAGUAUCAUUAAGUGAAUACAUAGCUUAAUGAGGGGAACUCAGGGAACUGAAACAUCUAAGUACCUGAAGGAAGAGAAAGAAAUUCGAUUCCGUAAGUAGCGGCGAGCGAACGCGGAUUAGCCCAAACCAAUAAAGUUUUCUUUGUUGGGGUUGCGGACAUAUCAUAACGAAGAGGUAUCGUAAUUGAAGAGGUUUGGAAAGACCCACCACAGAAGGUAAUAGUCCUGUAUGUUAAACGAGAAGACUUUAGAUAUGAUCCAGAGUACCACGGGACACGUGAAACCCUGUGGGAAGCAGGAGGGACCACCCUCCAAGGCUAAAUACUACCUAGUGACCGAUAGCGUAUAGUACCGUGAGGGAAAGGUGAAAAGAACCCCGGGAGGGGAGUGAAAUAGAACCUGAAACCCUGCACUUACAAGCUGUGGAAGCACAUUUCUUGUGUGACCGCGUACUUUUUGUAGAACGGGCCAACGAGUUACGUUAAGUAGCAAGGUUAAGCACUUAAGGUGCGGAGCCGUAGCGAAAGCGAGUUUUAACUGAGCGUUCAGUUACUUGACGUAGACCCGAAACCGGGCGACCUACCCAUGAGCAGGAUGAAGCGAAAGUAAAAUUUCGUGGAGGUCCGAACCCACGAGCGUUGAAAAGCUCGGGGAUGACUUGUGGGUAGCGGUGAAAUUCCAAUCGAGCCCGGAGAUAGCUGGUUCUCCCCGAAAUAGCUUUAGGGCUAGCCUCAAGGUGAGAGAUACGGAGGUAGAGCACUGAAUGUCCUAGGGGGUAUUGCACCUACCGAAGACUAUCAAACUCCGAAUGCCGUCAUCUUAUACUUGGGAGUCAGACUGUGGGUGAUAAGAUUCAUAGUCGAAAGGGCAACAGCCCAGAUCGUCAGCUAAGGUCCCUAAAUGUAAGUUAAGUGGUAAAGGAUGUGGGAUUGCACAGACAACCAGGAUGUUGGCUUAGAAGCAGCCACUCAUUCAAAGAGUGCGUAAUAGCUCACUGGUCGAGUGAUCCUGCGCCGAAGAUUUCCGGGGCUAAAACUUACUACCGAAGCUACGGCAUCAGUAAUGAUGGGUAGGGGAGCUUCCCAUACGGGUUGAAGCAUGACCGUAAGGACAUGUGGACAGUAUGGGAGUGAGAAUGUUGGCAUGAGUAGCGAGAUGUGGGUGAGAAUCCCACAGGCCGUAAACCCAAGGUUUCCAGGGGAAGGUUCGUCCGCCCUGGGUUAGUCGGGACCUAAGCUGAGGCCGAAAGGCGUAGGUGAUGGACAACAGGUUGAUAUUCCUGUACUACCGAUAACCGUUUGAGAGAAGGGAUGACACAGUAGGAUAAGCUAAGCACACUGUUGGUUAUGUGUGCCCAAGCAUUGAGGCAGUCAAAGUAGGCAAAUCCGCUUUGAUAAUGCUGGGAUGUGAUGGGGAGCGAAAUUUAGUAGCGAAGUAGCUGAUUUCACACUGUCAAGAAAAGUCUCUAUCGAGGUUAAAGGUACCCGUACCGCAAACCGACACAGGUGGGUGAGGAGAGUAUCCUAAGGCCAGCGAGAGAACUGUUGUUAAGGAACUCGGCAAAAUGACCCCGUAACUUAGGGAUAAGGGGUGCCACCAUCAGGUGGCCGCAGAGAAUAGGCCCAAGCGACUGUUUACCAAAAACAUAGGUUUCUGCUAAGUCGCAAGACGAUGUAUAGGAGCUGACGCCUGCCCGGUGCUGGAAGGUUAAGGGGAUCUGUUAGAGCAAUCGAAGCAGUGAACUUAAGCCCCAGUAAACGGCGGCCGUAACUAUAACGGUCCUAAGGUAGCGAAAUUCCUUGUCGGGUAAGUUCCGACCCGCACGAAAGGCGUAACGAUUUGGGCACUGUCUCAACAACAGACUCGGUGAAAUUGUAAUUCCGGUGAAGAUGCCGGAUACCUGCGACAGGACGGAAAGACCCCAUGGAGCUUUACUGUAGCUUGACAUUGGGUCUUGGUACUACAUGUACAGGAUAGGUGGGAGGCUUUGAAACCAGGACGCCAGUUUUGGCGGAGCCAUCCUUGGGAUACCACCCUUGUAGUACUGGGACUCUAACCAUAGGCCAUGAAUCUGGUCUUGGGACACUGUCAGGUGGGCAGUUUGACUGGGGCGGUCGCCUCCCAAAAGGUAACGGAGGCGCUCAAAGGUUCUCUCAGUACGGUCGGAAAUCGUACGUAGAGUGUAAAGGCAAAAGAGAGCUUGAUUGCAAGACAUACAGGUCGAGCAAGGAUGAAAAUCGGACUUAGUGAUCCGGUGGUUCUGCGUGGAAGGGCCAUCGCUCAACGGAUAAAAGCUACCCUGGGGAUAACAGGCUUAUCUCCCCCAAGAGUCCACAUCGACGGGGAGGUUUGGCACCUCGAUGUCGGCUCAUCACAUCCUGGGGCUGUAGUAGGUCCCAAGGGUUGGGCUGUUCGCCCAUUAAAGUGGUACGCGAGCUGGGUUCAGAACGUCGUGAGACAGUUCGGUCCCUAUCCGUCGCAGGCGUAGGAAAUUUGAGAAGACCUGUCCUUAGUACGAGAGGACCGGGAUGGACGUACCUCUGGUGUACCAGUUGUCCUGCCAAGGGCAUGGCUGGGUAGCUAUGUACGGAAUGGAUAAGCGCUGAAAGCAUCUAAGCGCGAAGCCAACUUCAAGAUAAGAUUUCCCACCGCAAGGGUAAGACCCCAGAAAGACUAUCUGGUUGAUAGGUCGAAGGUGUAAGUGCAGCAAUGUAUUUAGCUUAUCGAUACUAAUAGGUCGAGGACUUGACCAAU